rnacentral:pre_miRNA from 1 species
UCUUACGGAUAAGCAAAGAAAGUGGUUUCUUCAAAUAUAAUCUACUCCUGGUGAGGAUGCUGUGAA